CCCCAGAUGUUGCUGAACUACAACUCCCAUGAUUCUCUAUCUAUGUAAUUCAAAGAAUCAUGGGAGUUGUAGUUCAGCAACAUCUGGGG